UUAGCUCACAGUUGUUCUUAUUUGCCUAA
rnacentral:piRNA from 1 species